AGAUAAGUUACUAAGGGCACACAGGGGAUGCCUUGGCUUUGAGAGGCGAAGAAGGACGUGAUAAGCUGCGAUAAGGUACGGGGAGGAGCAAAUAUCUUUUGAUCCGUACAUUUCCGAAUGGGGAAACCCGGCUGGUUGAAGACCAGUCACCCUUAGGGGGGCGAACGCGCUGAACUGAAACAUCUAAGUAGGCGCAGGAAGAGAAAACAAUAGUGAUUUCCGUAGUAGUGGCGAGCGAACUGGAAAUAGCCCAAACCGUAAUUGUUUCGGCAAUUGCGGGGUUGUAGGACUACGAUAUGGACUUUAGAAUUAUAGUGGAACCGUAUGGAAAGGCGGUCCGUAGAGGGUGAGAGGCCCGUACACGAAAUAGUUUUAAUACCUAGUAGUAUCCUGAGUAGGGCGGGACAUGUGAAAUCCUGUCUGAAUCUGCCAGAACCAUCUGGUAAGGCUAAAUACUCCUCAAAGACCGAUAGCGAACGAGUACUGUGAAGGAAAGGUGAAAAGAACCCUGAACAAGGGAGUGAAAAAGACCCUGAAACUGUGUGUCUACAAGCGGUCGAAGCCAUUCGUGGCGACGGCGUGCCUUUUGCAUAAUGAUCCUACGAGUUACUCCUCAUUGGCAAGGUUAAGUGUUUAAGACACGGAGCCGAAGCGAAAGCGAGUCUGA
rnacentral:rRNA from 1 species